rnacentral:lncRNA from 1 species
CGAGCUGGCCCCUUCUUGUCAGGCUGCUGGGCUCCAGAGUCCCUCGCCAGAGCCUUCCCUGACUAGCCGCUUCCAGUCACUCUGAUUUCCUUCCUCUGUAGCAGUGAUCGCUCCUUCCCUUCGUCCCUUCGUUAUUGCCUGCUUCUCCCCACGGGAGGGACCUCAGCAUCGCCGUGAGCACAGGGCCUGGAAGAGGGCCCUGCACACGAGGCACUCAGCAUACGAUCUUUGUGCUGGAAAUUUCCCUCGUGGCUCCCGCGAGCACCGGCAGACGGGCACGUGCGCUCGCACGCAGGCACGCACACACACAGCCGCAGCCCCUCUCCUUGGCACGAUGCUAAUGGGGGCUUUGCAGGUGCUGAGCUGUGGGAAUGGAAGCUGCAGAGUGAAUAACAGUUGGCACCUGUGCCGAGCUUGCCGCAGAGCUACAACCACGGUGCCCGCCGGAAUUAGAGAUGCUUUUCAGUGCUGGAUGAAGGGAGGGGCCGAAGACAGGGGAGCGUGGAGAGCUGUGAGCACUGGGCAUCAGACUGCAGAGGUGCUGGGCAGGAGGAGGUGAAGUGAUCUUCCACCUCCUCACGUGCCCGUCUCUGUGAUCCUACAGAAGUCACUCGUUCCAGGCCACCAUUAUGGGGAACAAAUAUUAGGAGCAUCCUAAGUUGACAGCAGGAGGGUCAAGACAAAAAGGAGCUGUGCAACCUCAGGCUAUGGCAGCAGCGAGGAAAAAGGACAAGGGUGCCCUGUGAAAAGGAAGCUCCAGGAAAUGCUAUUCCCGAAAAAGAAAGCAAGCCUAAAGAAGGAAGGUGCAGACAGCACACACCGUGCAAUUCCACCUUUUUUUUUUUUUUUAAUCUGACAAAACGAUGCCAUGUAUUGUGAUUGGCCACAUCCACACACAGGCACCAAACACACACGACACACACACGCACA